rnacentral:rRNA from 1 species
UACUCCUACGGGAGGCAGCAUUGGGUAAUAUUGCGCAAUGGGCGCAAGCCUGAUGCAGCCAUGCCGCGUGUAUGAAGAAGGCCUUCGGGUUGUAAAGUACUUCAGCGGGGAGGGUGCUGAUGUGGUUAAUAAGAACAUCAAUUGACGUAUCC